UUCCAGCGACGGCGGAGCACGAGGGGCGGCGCCCUCAUCGCCACCCACCGCCUCCCCUUCCUUCUGAGACCCACCUCGCCGCUGGCCCUCCCCCUCCUCUUCUCCCACCUCGCAGCUCUGGAGGCUGCCGGAUCCGCGGCAUCCCCUACCCACCCAUCCCUCUCAUGUCCCAUCUCUCACUCUUCACGCGGCUCCUCGUGGCGCCACCUAUGGCGGAUGAUUCAGGCGACGUCCGGCGAAUCCUGCCAUCGCGAAGCACAGCCCGAGCUCCCCUCACACCGCGGCACCCUCCCAUCCAGCUAUAUCCAGCACUCAAGGCCACCAAAGCCCACCCACGACCCUCCCCCCAUGGCUAGGGUUUCGGGCAUCUUUUCCUCACCCAUGGCCAUGUCGUCCUCCUCUCGUUCGAUGUGCAGGGAGGAACGACCAGUGGACACCUUGCUGCUGCUCGGGGACGAAGCGGCCAUGGAGAUUCCUCCUCCUCUGCUCCCAAGUCCUUAAUCCGCUGCAAUUAAGAUUGGCACUUCCUACAUCCCUCCUUCAGUUGCUUAGUCACUACACACACGCAGCUAGGUUUUCUUUAGUUCAUUGAUAUGGUUCAUCUUCAUCGUGAUGGAUGUGCCCUCACAACCAAAAGGAUCAACAUACCUCCAUGGAGAAUAUUUAAUAACCUAGGUAAGGAUAAAACUAUAAAACUAAAUAGGACACACCUACAGUACGACACCAAUACAGCGGCUGAAGUCUGAACUAAUUAAGUGGUGGCUGAUGAUUUCAGUGAAAGAACUCUUUGUUUUAAUUUUUUAUUUUCCUGGUGUAUCUGCAGAUUGCACCGUUUUUUCUGUAUGAGAGGCACUAUUAGAGCCACCAUAAUAAUUCUAGAAGAGAGUUUUAAAGAACCAUCUGAUGUGUUAGCCAAUCAAAUGUAGGGUGUUACAUUGUAGAUUGGUUCAACAGAGAGUUGGUUCAGUACUAUAGGCUUGUGCGUGACAACAGAAAUAUAUUAAUCCAAGUGGACAUUGUUUUCCUCCAGAAACGAGGUAGAUCCAUCUGGGAUGUGACAACGAAGUGCUGAGCAAAGAAGUGGCUUGGUGGGGAUGGCAUGCUUAAUUUGCUCUACUUUAAAUUAUCAUGCGCCUUCGUUCCUUUUACUUAUUAGUUCUCUCCCUGAAGCUAGAAAGACACUGUGACAUGCAAAUUUGAUCCUAUCAACCUCAAGAAUUAUCCUUUCCUUCUAAAUGUCCCAGCAAAAGAUAAGAUUUGGCUUCACUGAUGUAAAUAAUUCUAAGAGGUUUGCAUCCUUCCUUUUUACUUAUGUACAUUAUUGAUGAUGGUGCUACCUAUGCACAUAUUCAGGUUGCAGCCAUAUUCAUUGUAAGCAGAAGUUUUUUUUUGAAGAGCUAUCUUUCGAGCACAUGCUCAGUUUGCUAACCAGCAGGAGAAUAGAAGAGAAGUGGUACUGUCACUCACAUUGCUGGCAAGGUCGUCAGUGAGGCGGUGCCGCGUGGGAGAGGAAGUCAUAGGGGGUCGCUAGAUCUCACAGGGAAGAUCAGGGGAGAGAGGAGCUACCGCGCAUCCGUGCCAAAUCUGACAGACGGCCAUGCUUUUGUGCUAGGUCUGGGUGCCACGGUUGAGGUUCUGUGGAGGAGCAUGUGACACACAAAGCACGAGUAGAUGGAGUGGAGGUGUAGGGAGCACUGGGAGGUAGCUUCGUCCUUACCACGGGCGCUGGUUGGAGAAAAGAAAGGGUGGCGCUGGGUGGUGAAAUAACGCGAGGACGAAAGAGGAGCUCCCGGUGGGAUUGGGGAUUUGGUACUGUUGUUGCUGUAGAUAUUGUACUUUGGCAUCCACUAGAAGUUGCUAUACCUGCACUCGCAUUGAAUUUUUUUUCAAAGACAACAUGCCUACUUUUGAAUUCCACCAACAACAUCGUCGGCGAUGUAAUAUUUUAAAUGUUAAUGUCCAGCAACUAGGUGUGCAAGCGGAUGGCGUC